GAAUCUUCUGCAAUGGACGAAAGUCUGACGGAGCAACGCCGCGUGAACGAUGAAGGCCUCCGGGUCGUAAAGAUCUGUUGUUAGGGAAGAACAAGUAUCGGAGUAACUGCCGGUACCUUGACGGUACCUAACCAGAAAGCCACGGCUAACUACGUGCCAGCAGCCGCGGUAAUACGUAGGUGGCAAGCGGUGUCCGGAAUUAUUGGGCGUAAAGCGCGCGCAGGCGGUUCGUUAAGUCUGGUGUGAGAGCCCCCGGCUCAACCGGGGAGGGUCAUUGGAAACUGGGGAACUUGAGUACUGAGGAGGAAAGCGGAAUUCCACGUGUAGCGGUGAAAUGCGUAGAGAUGUGGAGGAACACCAGUGGCGAAGGCGGCUUUCUGGGCAGUAACUGACGCUGAGGCGCGAAAGCGUGGGGAGCAAACAGG
rnacentral:rRNA from 1 species